GCCGCCGUUGCUAAUCUCUCUCUGUUUCGCGAUUGCACAAAAGUGAAUUUUCUUCCUUUGUCCAGAUCGAUCUUGGCAGCGGUGCCAACCAACACCUUCUGCAGGUUGUGCAUAUUGUAGAUCAUGAUAGCUGAUUGCUCUCUCUUCACAUGAUUUUUGUUCUUAUUUUGUAGAUCUCCAUAGUAGAUUGCUUCCUCGCUUGACACGAUUUGAGUGUUCUUAUUUUGUCCAGAUCGAUCAAACUCUUGGCAGCGAUUUCAGAUGAUCAACCCAUCGCAGCGGUGGUAGCCAGCGCUUUUGCAGGUUUUGUGCACGUCGUAGAUCUUGACGGCUGACUGCUCUCUCUCUUCCUUCCUAACAGCAGAAGAAUUACGUAUCGAAGGCUACAAUCGCGAGCUCCCGACCGAGUUCAUUGAUCUUGAUAUACAAGAACAACGGGAGGAGUAAGCAAAUCACUACAAUUCAAGAGUUCAGCGCCCGACGAACUGCCGAAUACACAAAGAUUUAUGGGUACUAAGGUCUACUACAAGUCUGAUGUAAAUCUGGCGAGAAGCAACAUGUCAGCGGACCUGGAGAUGGUUAGGAUCAGUGGAAGCUCUGCGACAUGACAUCGACAUGACAUCGGUCUGGGCGACCCCGGCCCUGGUUUGAGCUCAACACGUACAUGAUGCACAACCCGGCGCGAUGGAAGGACCUCAGCCCAAAGAUCGUCGUCCAAUUGUACCACGAAGUUGCAGUCAGGGGCAACCUCGGCUUCGCCGCUGCGGUGUGGCCAGCGGUGUACAUAGAUCAGUUCAACCGGGAUGAGGAUGGCAUGGUGGAGAAGGCAGUCCCGACCAGACCUACGACAUCUGGUCCGUCUCUGGCGUCAGCGCCUACACCGGCGGCCUCUGUGUCGCAUGAAAGAGACAAUGUUGAUCUCGCUCCGACAAAGAUAUCUCCAUGUUUUUAAAUAUAAGUUUUUAUACGUAGAGUUUCUAACCGUUAUUUAAAUCCCUCCAUGAAUGAUGCCACUAAUUCCAUAACAAUCUUAUUUUGCUUGGUAUGCUGCACAGAAAAGUACCGCACUUGCAGAUGAAAACUACUACCGAUAUUUUUGGCAAAAGAACACAAAAUUACUUCUACUCUGCUUGCCAUCUACGCUGGAAACAACAAGUAAUGCUUACAGCCUCGGUGGCUCAGUGCCUCUGUUCAGGUAAAACAUUAUACUUAUACAUUUUUCUGUUCUUUAUUUUGCAGGCAUUAGAUAUUUUGGAUAAUAGUGGUUUGUGGACUACGUAAUAAUCUGAUUUCAGUUAACUCUUCUGGGGGAUGGCAGGUAGAGUUUACUUCUUGCUUUCAUUUUGUUUGCUCAAAAUGAACAAUUGUUCGUAGAUCUUGAGUUCAACAAAAUUAACAUGAUUAUUGGUAUUGAGCUCUCCUAUAAACAUGUGAAAUAGUUGGAGGGGGAAAUACUGAGACAUUUUGUAAUGAAGUAAGAAGGAGAAGCUCACUAUUUCACGAAAAACAUUUUAUAUUGCGUAACCUUAUAAAAAAAUAGUAGUUCAUAA